rnacentral:rRNA from 1 species
GGUUAAGUGAAUAAGGGCGCACGGUGGAUGCCUUGGCACUAGGAGCCGAUGAAGGACGGGACUAACACCGAUAUGCUUCGGGGAGCUGUAAGUAAGCUUUGAUCCGGAGAUUUCCGAAUGGGGAAACCCA